UAUUGUCUGUCUCAGAGUUCUAAAGGUUCGCUCAGGGGAAGCGGCAGGCCAAUCAGAGCACGGGAUACCGGCCUACCGGCCAAUCGGCGCGGCUGGUCGCCAAGUGGGCGGGGCCUGCGUGGUGGUAGUUAUUAGGGGAGCUGUCAAAGCCCAGAGGUCACUCCCUUUUGUAGAGCCCGAGAGCGAGCAGGUCUUAAAGGGGCAGUACCGUGUUAGUAGCGCCCUUUUAGAUUGGAACUCGUGGAGACAACAUGGGAGAGCAUUCUCGCUUAGUUGGAGUCCCUACUUUGCUAAAUAACUGCAGAGUUUGCGCUCCUGGACGAGAACAUUUACAUAGUGCCAACAAAACCACUUAACCCCAUUCAUUAGCUCUGGGCUUUGUAAAUCACGGUUUUUAACCCCCGAGCUCCUUGUACACCACCGUGUUGCAGUGCAAAAAGUUGGAAGGCUGCAGUUUCCUCCAAGAAAUUACUACUCGUGUUCCACUGUUUGCUAAUAAUGCUCUGGGUUCCGCGGCUGUUCAAUAUUCUUGUUCCCGAAGUGUUUUCUUGAUCUCAGCCACCUUCCCCGGGCGGUUUCUGAGAACUGGAGAGUCCAGGACAGCAACUCCCUUCCUCCUGGAAUGUCUCAGUGUCAGGCUUGCGGACAGCCACGGCUUUUGUUACGUAAUUCACGGGUGGUCACUCCGCGCGGUCCCCUACGACCACCGUUCUCCACUGUCAACGAUUCACACUGAUCUGACAUGGCCAGCUUGGGAGCGAAGUGAGACCUGGCGCUUUUUAGGCAGAAGAGUCUCAUGUUGAGAAAACUGGCAUUGAUGAAUUCUAAACAGAACCAGGUGGCUAAGCAGGCUAUUUUGUAUGUCUGUGUACCAGAAUAAUGACAUCUCCAUCUCCCCCAGGAAGCAGUGAGCUUUGGAGUCCAACCAGAGCAUCCUGAGCCCAGGUGACUAUUGAACAUUUGAUACGCGGUCAUUCUAACUUAGAUGUGUCAAAUAUACACACGAUCUCAUAGGCUUAGCACCAAAAAGGGAAUGUAAAUUAGCUCAUGAGUUUGACUCUAGUAGAGAAAGCCACACAUACCCUUGCUCUCAAACCCCUCCCUCUUUCUGAAUGUCUCUCUUCCUCCCAAUCCUCCUGCCUAUAUUAACAUAUCCCUUUUUUAAAGAUAGGGUGUCAUGUUGUACCCCUGGCUGCCUCAUGAAUACUGGAAUUAAAGGCAUGCAUUACGCCCAGACUUACAUUAACUUUAGAUUGGUAUUACACUUCCC
rnacentral:lncRNA from 1 species